UUCUUGGAGAGUUUGAUCCUGGCUCAGGACGAACGCUGGCGGCGUGCCUAAUACAUGCAAGUCGAGCGGACCUUAGCGAUCUUCGGAUCGCUCUUGGUUAGCGGCGGACGGGUGAGUAACACGUAGGCAACCUGCCUGCAAGACCGGGAUAACUACCGGAAACGGUAGCUAAUACCGGAUAAUUUAUCGCUUCGCAUGGAGCGGUAAUGAAAGACGGAGCAAUCUGUCACUUGCAGAUGGGCCUGCGGCGCAUUAGCUAGUUGGUGAGGUAA
rnacentral:rRNA from 1 species